GCUGACGAGUGGCGGACGGGUGAGUAAUGUCUGGGAAACUGCCUGAUGGAGGGGGAUAACUACUGGAAACGGUAGCUAAUACCGCAUAACGUCGCAAGACCAAAGAGGGGGACCUUCGGGCCUCUUGCCAUCGGAUGUGCCCAGAUGGGAUUAGCUAGUAGGUGGGGUAACGGCUCACCUAGGCGACGAUCCCUAGCUGGUCUGAGAGGAUGACCAGCCACACUGGAACUGAGACACGGUCCAGACUCCUACGGGAGGCAGCAGUGGGGAAUAUUGCACAAUGGGCGCAAGCCUGAUGCAGCCAUGCCGCGUGUAUGAAGAAGGCCUUCGGGUUGUAAAGUACUUUCAGCGGGGAGGAAGGGAGUAAAGUUAAUACCUUUGCUCAUUGACGUUACCCGCAGAAGAAGCACCGGCUAACUCCGUGCCAGCAGCCGCGGUAAUACGGAGGGUGCAAGCGUUAAUCGGAAUUACUGGGCGUAAAGCGCACGCAGGCGGUUUGUUAAGUCAGAUGUGAAAUCCCCGGGCUCAACCUGGGAACUGCAUCUGAUACUGGCAAGCUUGAGUCUCGUAGAGGGGGGUAGAAUUCCAGGUGUAGCGGUGAAAUGCGUAGAGAUCUGGAGGAAUACCGGUGGCGAAGGCGGCCCCCUGGACGAAGACUGACGCUCAGGUGCGAAAGCGUGGGGAGCAAACAGGAUU
rnacentral:rRNA from 1 species